UACGUAGGGCGCAAGCGUUGUCCGGAAUUAUUGGGCGUAAAGAGCUCGUAGGCGGUCUGUCGCGUCCGUUGUGAAAACUCGAGGCUCAACCUCGGGCUUGCAGUGGAUACGGGCAGACUAGAGUGCGGUAGGGGAGACUGGAAUUCCUGGUGUAGCGGUGGAAUGCGCAGAUAUCAGGAGGAACACCGAUGGCGAAGGCAGGUCUCUGGGCCACAACUGACGCUGAGGAGCGAAAGCAUGGGGAGCGAACAGG
rnacentral:rRNA from 1 species